GUAUUGCAAUAUCGCGAGUCAUUUGCUACCGCUGGAUUAUACGCAUCUUGAAUAUAUUAUCCAAGUGAUUUUGGCGCAUUCUUUCAUUCCAUGAGUCCUGAGUUGAUUAUUCUGCAUGAAACAUUAUUUGUUGCAAAUAGUGCCCGUUUUCUUGGAGCGUGCGCGCAGUAUUAUCGCGUAUUAUCAUGCCGCGUUGCUGACUGCGCUGCGCGGUAUGCUCAGCGCCACUCAGCGCAGCUAUGAGCAGGUCGUUGGUUGACUCGGGCGUGUUUCUCGCGGUUGUUAUCAUUUUAUUUUGAGUUUGUAAUUUGCUUGCUCGCGUUGCAACAAAAAUUGUGUUUUGCACGUGAACUCGACAUCGAAGGAAAACUAUUCUUUCAUCAGAUUGUGUUUUGAACCUGAAGCCGAUGUCCUAGGAGAAUCAUUCAUGUAUCAGAUUGAGAAUCAUUCAUGUAUCAGAUUGUGUUUUGAACCUGAACCCGACGUCAUAGGAGAACCAUUCUUGAAUCAGAUUGUGUUUUGAACCUGAACCCCACAUCAUAGGAGAACGAUUCUUAUAUCAGAUUGUGUUUUGAACCUGAAGUCGACAUCGUAGGAGAACCAUUUUUGUAUCAGAUUGUGUUUUGAACCUGAACCCGACGUUGUAGAGAAACGAUUCUUAUAUCAGAUUGUUUUUUUAAAACUGAAUCCGACCUCGUAGGAGAAGCUUUCUUGUAUCAGAUCGUGUUUUGCACCUGAACCCGACAUCGUAGGAAAACUAUUCUCACAUCAGAUUGUAUUUUGAACCUAAACCCGACAUCGUAGGAGAACCAUUCUUGUAUCAGAUUGUUUUUUGAAACUGAAUCCGACAUCGUAGGAGAAGCUAUCCUGUAUCAGAUUGUAUUUUGAACCCGAACCUGACAUCGUAGGAGAACCAUUCUUUUGUUAGAUUUUUUAGAUGUUUUGAACCCGAACUCGACAUCGUAGGAUAACCAUUCUUAUAUCAGAUUGUAACUAUUUAAUUUCUUCUAUAUACGCACUUACCGGUAGAAUCCAACAUGUACGCAUGCGCUGCAUACUUUACUUUGCUUGCGCACUCAAUAUUGUCAUCUGUCCUUGGCCCCGGCAGGUUAGUUGUGCAGUCUUAGCGCAUCUCCGUAGUAUUAUAUCUCGUGUUUUUAAAGUGCAAUAUUCAAUUGGCAAUCGACUGCAGUUAAUGACAAAUGAGUUACGAUGAAUUGUGUUUAAAAUUUUCAUAAAUGCGCAAAUUUAGUGUCUUCUUGUGAGUUUCAUCAGUCGGAUAUUACAAUGUGGAUGCAACAUUUGUUGAAGACUAUUGUGAUGAGAAAAUUUACAUAACGUCAAGGAGUUGAACGUGAUCUUGGUGUACGAGAUCGUGCAAUCGUGCCCGCAUUCAAUUUCGAUCGUGCGAUGUUGUUCGGAACACACGUGUUUGGAUCACAAGUCGAUCUUCGUAACUAGUUUGCGCGUUUCUUGUGAUUUUAAGUCGGUAGUUGAAUUUGAAUCAAUUAGCACAGAUAACAUUUAGAAUUAACGGACUAGUGCGGCGUGCAGUUAAUGAAUUAUCGCGCGUGGAAGCCAGAAUUGUGCAGUUUUACAUUGUUCGCACGUUUUUGCCGUCGGCCAUCGGAUAUCUCUCGUCGACACGAAGAAUUCUUACUGGAUUUAUAUAUUUUUGUACAUUUAUUAAAUAAUUCAAACGUGGAAAUAUACUUCGAUUGUUUCCUGUGUGGAAAUCUAAACCGUACCAGUUUGUGAAGAUUAAACAUUCAAGUAAGUGUAACUUGUAACUUAAGUCACUUUUGUAAGUAACGUUGAACACAUGUACUUAAAUUUGUGUAUGUACUGUCUUGAUUAAAUGAGUUUGAAUAAAAUAUAAUUUAAUAGUA